GCUGCAUCCGUCUUGUUGGUUCAAGAUGAGUGCUCUUCUGUUAGGUCCUCUAUCUAAACAUCUUCAACUCCAUUUCGUGGAUCGAUCACCCAAUCCUUCCCAGCUGAUCCGUAUUUUAGUGGUCCUUGUCGCCGACGAGAAGUUUAGUCUAGUUUCUCCAUGGUUUGUGUAGCUAUUGAGAUGUUAACUCUCAUGCUUUCAGCCUCCUUUUCGCUGUCUCUAUUUGAGCUGCUCAUGUCUCCACACUACCUAUGAAGUCCGAUCUCUACGACUUUGGUGUGAGCUACCCCCUCAGACCUCCAGAU